AUUAACGUGAUAUUACACUUAAUUACGCGAAUACCAAUGAGUCUGCAGGUGAAUUUAUCUAUUAUCUCUACAUGGCAUGGACUCAGUUGAUUCCAUAUCCUCCAACUUAACCGAAGCUGUGAAAGCAGAUUCGUUGUUCUACGCAAUGAUCACCCCAAUCAUUGCGUAUUUUUUUAUCUAAAAUUCAUA
rnacentral:sRNA from 1 species